AUUUGAGACUUCCAGUGGAGCAAACCUUGUUACAUUCCAAGAAGCCUACUCUUUUUUUUAACAGCUCUUUUUUAAAACCACUUUAUUGAGGUAUGAUUGACAUAAAAAAGCUGUCUGUGACCUGACUACAACCCAUGCCAUAACGUAUCCAUCACCUCCAAAAGUUUCCUCUCACCCUCUUUAUUAAUUAUUAUCAUUAUUGUCAGAAAACGUUACCUCAUAAUGAACUGAAUAGCUGAAACACUGUCUAAUGGAACGUUCAUGUCCAAAUACAUUUCUCUGGUUCAUUAAGUGGACUAAGAAAAUCAUAAGCUUCAGACGUCUUGAAUCCAGCCUUGAUGAAAACUAAGGUUCUGCCUCAUCAAGAGCACAUCUGAUAAAAGAGCCACCCUACAAGGACUAAAACCAUGACCUAGGGUCCAGUGCCUUGGAUCUACACCAUCCUGGAGGAGGGAGGGAGCAGGCCUGCCUGAAACUGUUGCAUCCUGGACACUUGAGAAUAGACCCAGCCUGCUGUGGACUCAUCAUCCUCAAAGUUUAGCCACAAUCUUCCAAAGGACAGAUGCAGCCACCUUGGUUACAUCUGAGGAAGCACAGGAAGAGAAGCAGUACAAAACAUUAGCAGAGGAAAGAGCAUCCGCUGCUGGGGAGAGACGGU
rnacentral:lncRNA from 1 species